AUUGAACGCUGGCGGCAUGCUUUACACAUGCAAGUCGAACGGCAGCGCGGGCUUCGGCCUGGCGGCGAGUGGCGAACGGGUGAGUAAUGCAUCGGAACGUGCCCAGUAGUGGGGGAUAGCCCGGCGAAAGCCGGAUUAAUACCGCAUACGACCUGAGGGUGAAAGCGGGGGACCGAAAGGCCUCGCGCUAUUGGAGCGGCCGAUGUCGGAUUAGCUAGUUGGUGGGGUAAAGGCUUACCAAGGCGACGAUCCGUAGCUGGUCUGAGAGGACGACCAGCCACACUGGGACUGAGACACGGCCCAGACUCCUAGGGGAGGCAGCGGUGGGGAAUUUGGGACAAUGGGGGAAACCCUGAUCCGGCCAUGCCGCGUGCGGGAAGAAGGCCUUCGGGUUGUAAACCGCUUUUGUUCGGAAAGAAAUCCUCUGGGCUAAUACCCCGGGGGGAUGACGGAACCGGAAGAAUAAGCACCGGCUAACUACGU
rnacentral:rRNA from 1 species